GCCUUCUUAAACAUCCCAUGAAGUGGUUUGGAUCACUGGUUUUUUAUACUUUGGGUGCAGGUUAACCGCUUGGAUGCGAGUUGCUUAGUUCGGGGCUUGCUUGGAAUCUUGGAUGAUAAAAUGCAAUGGAGCUGUUUCGGACUUUAUCGCAUUGGCUCAUGUUGUGUAAUAGUAGAAAUGUAUGAGAUUAUUGAAUUUGAAGUGUGAUGAAAUGGUUGUAAUGGUUAUGUAGUUUAUGAAAUGUAUGUGAUUAUUGAAUUUGAAGUGUGAUGAAAUGGUUGUAAUGGUUAUGUAGUUUAUGAAAUGUAUGUGGUAAUGUUACCUUGUAA